GCUUGACUGUAGCUUGUAAUUGGGUUCGGGCUUUUUUUGCGCAGCCUAGGUGGGAGGCAACGAUGAUUUUUUUCCGGAAAAAUUUGAGCCGUUAGUGAGAGACCACUCUGAAAAGGCUAGAAUCCUAAUAAUGAUCCUUGAAUCAGGACAUUUGACAGUUGCAGGUGGGCAGUUUUACUGGGGCGGUAUUCUCCUAAAAAGUAACGGAGGGGUGCAAAGGUUCCCUCAAGCUGGACGGAAAUCAGCUUAAGAGUGUAAAGGCAAAAGGGAGCUUGACUGCAAGACCUACAAGUCGAGCAGGGGCGAAAGCCGGCCUUAGUGAUCCGACGGUACCACGUGGGAAGGGCCGUCGCUCAACGGAUAAAAGUUA
rnacentral:rRNA from 1 species